rnacentral:rRNA from 1 species
AAUCAACGCUGGCGGCGUGCCUAACACAUGCAAGUCGGACGCGAAAGCCCCGCAAGGGGCCGGUAGAGUGGCGCACGGGUGAGUAACACGUGGAUAACCUGCCUGGCAGAGGGGACUAACCUCCCGAAAGGGGGGCUAAUGCCGCAUAAGACCUCCAGGCGCAAGUCUGGGGGUUGAAAGGGGAGACCCGCUGGCAGAGGGGUCCGCGCCUGAUUAGCUAGUUGGUGAGGUAACGGCUCACCAAGGCUACGAUCAGUAGCCGUCCUGAGAGGGAGCACGGCCACACUGGAACUGAGACACGGUCCAGACUCCUACGGGAGGCAGCAGUGGGGAAUUUUUGGCAAUGGGGGCAACCCUGACCAAGCAACGCCGCGUGGGUGAGGAAGUACCUUGGUACGUAAAGCCCUUUCGGCAGGGACGAAGAAGGUGACGGUACCUGCAGAAGAAGCCCCGGCUAACUCCGUGCCAGCCGCCGCGGUAACAC